rnacentral:rRNA from 1 species
CCUACGGGCGGCUGCAGUGGGGAAUAUUGGACAAUGGGCGCAAGCCUGAUCCAGCCAUGCCGCGUGAGUGAUGAAGGCCUUAGGGUUGUAAAGCUCUUUCACCCACGACGAUAAUGACGGUAGUGGGAGAAGAAGCCCCGGCUAACUUCGUGCCAGCAGCCGCGGUAAUACGAAGGGGGCUAGCGUUGUGCGGAGUUACUGGGCGUAAAGCGUACGUAGGCGGACCGUUAAGUCGGAGGUGAAAUCCUGGGCCUCCACCCCCGAGCUGCCUUCGAUACUGGCGGUCUCGAGUCCGGGAGAGGUGAGUGGACCUGCCAGUGUAGAGGUGAAAUUCGUAGAUAUUGGCAAGAACACCAGUGGCGAAGGCGGCUCACUGGCCCGGUACUGACGCUGAGGUACGAAAGCGUGGGUAGCAAACAGGAUUAGAUACCCCGGUAGUC